rnacentral:lncRNA from 1 species
GUAGUUUCAAAAUAGAACUCAGUGAUCAGUGGUUUUUACCCUGGUGGAAGUCAUUAAAGGUAUAAUAUGAGCCAGUUAAAGAAUUAAUUAGGUGUUGCUUAAAAACCCCAAUUUGAUUAAUGAGUUCAAAUGAAAGGCAAUUAUGUAACACAAAUGACAGAAUCUUUGGCGGCAAUAGAUUUAUGUGUUAAUUUUAGGACAGCAAUGCACAGUACAGGGUUCACGGUGAUUUGUCUGGGAAAUGCCAUAGGUCCUGUUUUCCAAAAGAAUUCGUGCAAUUGACCUUGGGGUGAGGGGGAUAAAACUGUCUACGCAGCAAAAAACUUCGUGUCCAAGACAUGGAGGGAGUGUUCAGAUUCGGUCACCUUAACCUUUCUAGGGAAAUCACUCAAUUCAAGGGCUGUUGUUUCAAUAUUAGUAACGAGCAGAGCUGAGUACUUACCCGCCAAGGGAGAUAAAAGGAGACUAUGUAAAUCAGUCUUCUCGUGAUUUAGUAGCAAUUGAAAAGGCACAGGUUUUUUUGAGUAUUUAGAUUUAUGGUGUACUGAAAGGAUUAACUGCAGAACCACUGUAAAAUUGAUUCUGCAGUGGAUAGGAGAAAAAAAAGUAUUUCUCUCUUUUUUUUUGGUGGCGGCAGGGGGUACUGCAGGUUACUUGGUAUUUAAGAAACAUAAUUUAGAGGUAAAUGAAGAGCGUAUUCUGACUUCUUUGGACAAGCCUCUUUUAGGCAAUAUUUUGUUUACCUUAUCCCAGUUCGUUCUUGCAAAUGGUGCUUGCCAAGGUGGAAUUACAGGACUCUCUACUGCCCAGCUCGCCUGCUGGGGCUUUCUUUUAUUCUCUCUUUCACUGGGAGGCUGCAGGUCAUUCCCCAAGAGCAUUCCUGGGGCUGGGUGCCCUGGAGGACAAGCCUAUGCUCUGAGUUACAUCUUGCUUUCUGAGAGCCCUUUAUUCAAGCCACUGCUCAGCAAAUGCCACCAUUGUGAGUGUGCCUGGAACCCUUAGAAUGAGAAAAGUGAUCUCCCUAUGGGAGGAAGAGAGUGUGGAACUCACUUCUACGUGCAGUGCCGAUCCCAGGGCAAUGCGACGCUUGCUGACUGACUCACUAUGGAAAAGGAGGACAAGGCAUUGGCGAGGUGUGGCACUGUGCCCUGCUGGUGCCCAUAGCCGAUUCCUCAGGGCUGCGGUGAUGUCUCCUGGAAUGGGCACUGGUCCUCUUCAUCAUCUCAGGGAUAGACAGCAAAGCUCCCUUUGGAUGACAUAGAUUUAUUACUUAGUAGUAUAUUAUGUAUUGGCUGUCCCACAUUUUGAAAUUUAAUGGACUCGUGGUGAUCAGAAUAAAAGAAGCCUUCGAUGUGAGGCCCAGGCAUUGAGUACCAUGUGUGCGAUUCACAAGCCUUGGCAUCUGAACAAUUUUUUGGAAGGAUCCAUCAGGACAACACGUCGGGGGUGUACUAGUGAAGUGAUUUUCCAAAUGUGCUACUCAGACCUGUAGCAUCAGCAUCACCGGAUAAUUUGUUAGAAAUUCCAACUGUUAGGCCCCACUUUAGACCAACUGAAUGUGAAACUCUGGGAGUACGUGGGGCCCAGCAAUUUGUGUUUUUACAAGACUUACCAGGUGAUUCUGAGAACCACUGUGCUAGUGAAUUGUUCCUGUCUGUGGCCACGUAGAAUAAGAAAACCAUAGGGUUGGAAAAUGGGGAAACUGGUGAGUGUUCGCUUAUGAGGAAAUGAAGAAUAGAUAGAAAAGAAUUAGUUAACUUUUGGAAUUCAAAAGAGAAGCAGUUUGUAAAAGCCAGGAAUUUGAUUUGAAGGACUAAUUGCUUGCAGAAUCUUUGCUUUCUCAGAGAGGGGCAAUCCAGAUCACUAGGUUACCGUGAAAUAUGUUGGUAUGGCUCUAAAAUUCUAGAAUAAUCUCUCUAGUGAGAAAAGGCAUACCUUUCCAUAUUAGGACAAAACUUCAAAUCAGGUUUGUAAAAUCCUAUAAGAUUAUUGUAUCCCAUUGCCAUGGCCAACUUGUUUGUCUCUGGAGAUCCCAGUUUCUACAUCUGAAAACCAUAUGCAUUCCUGCUCACCAGGAAUUAUCUCGCUGAAUGAAGCAAGAGAUUCAGGAUGUGUAAGAGAAUUUAUGAAGCAUUUGGAUUACCAAGAAAUGUGAAGUAUAAAGAUCAAGAAUGAUUAUUACAAACACUGAUGGUAAAGAGGUGUUUCGAAGUCGAUGCAAAAAAUGAGUUGCUUAUUUCAGUCUCUCUUUGAUAUAUCUGCCUUUUUAGUGCUGACUCUAUCAUGUAUUCACUAUUUGAUUUUCAGUGAAUCACAUUUUUUAAAGCUUUUAAUCUGUUUCCUCAAAAAAUAUAUUUUUUAAAAAUAUUUACUCAGGAUUGUUGUGAGAAUAAAAUUGAUUCGAUUGAUAUUUCAAAAAAGAAAUAUAUUUUUAAAAAAUAAAGCAAUACCAUUUUUGGAUAUGCUAGUGCUCUGACUGUUAUUUUAUGUCUGGGUUGAGGAAUCCUAAAGGACUGUUGACAUAAUGACAUCAUCCAGGGGUUUGGAAUAAGAGUAUACAUCAGCAAGUUUUCUGAUUACAAAAAGUAGCUAUGUUUACUUUUCUGUUAAUUCUCCUUCAGUGGAAUGUUUCAAUUUUCUCAUGAGAUGGGGGAGAUCCAUUUUUUUGAGAGCUCUGUUUUAUUAAAGAAAGCAAGUCUGGUGGCU